rnacentral:rRNA from 1 species
UGCAAGUCGAGCGAGAAGGAAAUCAAAGUUUACUUUGGUUUCCGGAAAGCGGCGCAAGGGAGAGUAACGCGUAGUUAUCUACCCCAAGGCCCGGAAUAGCUGCGGGAAACUGCAGGUAAUGCCGGAUAAUAUCCCCGGAUCAAAGGUGUGAUUCCGCCUUGGGAGGAGACUGCGUUGUACUAGCUUGUUGGUAGGGUAAUGGCCUACCAAGGCUACGAUGCAUAGCGGGCGUGAGAGCGUGGCCCGUCUCACUGGGACUGAAACACUGCCCAGACACCUACGGGUGGCUGCAGUCGAGAAUCUUCGGCAAUGGGCGAAAGCCUGACCGAGCAAUGCCGCGUGCGGGAUGAAGGCCCUCGGGUUGUAAACCGCUGUCGUAGGGGAGAAAGGUCUCAUGAAGAAUGAGAUUUGAUCUAUCCUAGGAGGAAGUCCGGGCUAAGUUCGUGCCAGCAGCCGCGGUAACACGAACCGGACAAACGUUAUUCGGAAUUAUUGGGCUUAAAGGGUGCGUAGGCGGUGCGGUAAGUGAGGUGUGAAAGCCCUCGGCUCAACCGAGGAAUUGCGCUUCAUACUGCCGUGCUGGAGGGAGACAGAGGUAAGCGGAACUGAUGGUGGAGCGGUGAAAUGCGUUGAUAUCAUCAGGAACACCGGUGGCGAAAGCGGCUUACUGGGUCUCUACUGACGCUGAGGCACGAAAGCUAGGGUAGCGAACGGGAUUAGAUACCCCGGUAGUCCUAGCCGUAAACGAUGAGCACUUGAUUGAGGGCCCCCCCAUAGGCUCUCGAUCGCAGCGAAAGUGUUAAGUGCUCCGCCUGGGGAGUAUGGUCGCAAGGCUGAAACUCAAAGGAAUUGACGGGGGCUCACACAAGCGGUGGAGGAUGUGGCUUAAUUCGAGGCUACGCGAAGAACCUUAUCCAGGCCUUGACAUG